AUGCCACGGAUCUCGAUCCCAUUACCCUUUCCUCAGAGAUAUUCAACCGUAGAUAGCCACUCUAAUCAACGAUCACCAUCUCUUCCGUUUUUCUAUUUUCCUUUUCCAAUUCCCGCUCGCUCCUCAUUUCUCCUCCAAUAUAUAUUACCCAAACACCAACGUCCUUCUCAUCAAUCACAACUCAAUUAA